rnacentral:rRNA from 1 species
UACGGGGGGAGCAAGCGUUGUUCGGAUUUACUGGGCGUAAAGGGCGCGUAGGCGGCCAGUACAAGUCAGUUGUGAAAUCUCCGAGCUUAACUCGGAAAGGUCAACUGAUACUGUGCGGCUAGAGUGCGGAAGGGGCAACUGGAAUUCUUGGUGUAGCGGUGAAAUGCGUAGAUAUCAAGAGGAACACCUGCGGCGAAGGCGGGUUGCUGGGCCGACACUGACGCUGAGGCGCGAAAGCCAGGGGAGCGAACGGG